CUCCAAAUAUAUAUUUCUUUCUGUUAACUUGUGAGCCGGCACUUUAACACGAUAAACCUACUCAGUAUGUUUGGCUAGAUUCACUUGACAUAAACAUGCUUUCUUUCUCCUGAAUGUACUGUAAUAUUUGUAUCUGCACUUUAAGUGCCAAUAAACUGAUCAAUCAAGUUAAUCGUACGAAGAUUGGACAGGUUUCAUUCUGAAUAAGAUCGCAUAUGGAGUUUGUGUGUUGUUUUU
rnacentral:lncRNA from 1 species